AUGGGCUGCAGAUCCUCAGACAAAGGCUUCAUUAAGAAGAACGAGGUUUCAGCAGUUCGGACAGACCCCCAAGUGCUGUGCGCUGAAUGCAAUACUUGCAAAUUGGGAUUUUUUUCUCACAGAUGUUUGCUGUUUACCAGAAACCUGAAUGACUUUAAGGCUCCCAGGAGUUCUCUCGCCUCUUCUGCAAUGAAGACCUUUCCAGGCAGAGGUGCCCAGAGAAUUGCUGCCAAGAUCAACUUUCCUACCUCCAGUACGUGCGUGGCAGGGAGGAGAGAGCACCUGGAGCGCUGGUGCUCCUGCCUCUGGCUGAGAGUUGAGAGAGCUGCUGAGCAUCUUCUCCUGCUUCUCCACAUAAUGCAGCUCAAAGCUGAGACCCGUCACUCAACCCAAGGAGAGCUAAUGCGUGGGUUACAGCCUUCCUGCCUCAGUCUUCCAGGCAUGCUGGUGCUUGAUCCCUCACGUAGGAGCUCCUUGGCCAGUCUGAUGUCUACCUGCUGCAUCCCUGGCUUUUGCAAUAUAACCCAACAGCCUGUGAUACUGGAAGCAUUUCGUAGCUAUUUUGUACCCUGUACUGUUUGCACCUGUGCAAAAUGGAUUUAUAGAGCUGACAGGCAGAUUUGGUGCCAUCUGAGCACCCUGUGGAUGACUGCACAGAGAGGAAAUCCUGGCAGAGAACAGGGCCUGAUCUAGGCAUCUCUUGCCUUGAAUUCCACGAAUUGUCACAGCACAAGAGAAGAAAUUAAGCCUUGAUUUGGCUACAUUUAGGCACUGGGUUUGGAGAUGGAUUAAGACCUUUCAAAACUCAUCUAGUCUAUCCCAUCCCCUCCUACCUCCUUUUCUAAGUAAACGUGGCGAUCCCAUAUACCGAUAACGCUCUCUCAGAUCUGGGAUAUCUUUUGGCUGUAUCUUUCGCCCCGCUGGAAAUCUCUCCCUUUCUGCCCUCCCUCCGCUCCACCCCACUCAAAUUCUUCAGCUGCAG
rnacentral:lncRNA from 1 species